rnacentral:tRNA from 1 species
AGGGUGUAGCUCAUUGGUAGAGCAUCGGUUCCAAAACCGAGGGCCGGGGGUCGAGUCCCUCCGCCCCUGCCA